UACGUAGGGGGCAAGCGUUAUCCGGAUUUACUGGGUGUAAAGGGAGCGUAGACGGCGAAGAAAGUCUGAAGUGAAAGCCCGCGGCUCAACCGCGGAAUGGCUUUGGAAACUUUUUUGCUGGAGUACCGGAGAGGUAAGCGGAAUUCCUAGUGUAGCGGUGAAAUGCGUAGAUAUUAGGAGGAACACCAGUGGCGAAGGCGGUCUGCUGGACAGCAACUGACGCUGAGGCGCGAAAGCGUGGGGAGCAAACAGG
rnacentral:rRNA from 1 species